GUGUACAUGUAGGUAGAGGUAAAGUGACUAUGCAUAGAUAAUAAACAGAGAGUAGUACCAGCGUAAAAGAGAGGGGAGGGGGUCAAUGCAAAUAGUCUGGGUAGCCAUUUGAUGAACUGUUCAGCAGUCUUAUGGCUUGGGGGUACAAGCUGUUAAGGAGUCUGUUGGUCCAAGACGUGGCGCUCCGGUACCGCUGGCUAUGUGGUAGCAGAGAGAACCGUCUAUGACUUGGGUCUUUGACAAUUUUUUGGGCCUUCCUCUGACAAGCCUAUUAUAUAGGUCCUGGAUGGCAGGAAGCUUGGCCCCAGUGAUGUACUGGGCCGUACACACUACUCUCCGUCGCACCUUUUAAAUUGUUUUUCAAACAUUUCAUUUAACUAGGCAAGUCAGUGAAAGAAGAAAUUCUUAUUUUCAAUGAUGGCCUAGGAACAGUGGGUUAACUGGUCUAGGAACAGUGGGUUAACUGGUCUAGGAACAGUGGGUUAACUGGCCUAGGAACAGUGGGUUAACUGGUCUAGGAACAGUGGGUUAACUGGUCUUGGAACAGUGGGUUAACUGGUCUUGGAACAGUGGGUUAACUGGUCUAGGAACCGUAACUGCCUUGUUCAGGGGCAGAACGACAGAUUUGAACUUGCAACCUUUCGGUUACUAGCCCAAAGCUCUAGGCUACACCACUAGGCUACACUGCCGCCUUACGGUCAGAUGCCGAGCAGUUGCCAUACCAGGCGGUGAUGCAACCAGUCCAGAUGCUCUCGAUGGUGCAGCUGUAGAACCUUUUGAGGAUCUGGGGACCAUUGCCAAAUCUUUUCAGUCUCUUGAGGGGGAAAAGGUGUUGUCGUGCCCUCCCUUUGUUUUUACACUGCUGCUGCUCGUUGUUUAUUAUCUAUGCAUAGUCACUUUACCCAUACCUACAUGUUCAAAUUACCUUGAUUAUCCUGUACCCCCUGUAUAUAGCCUCGUUAUUAACCUGUACCCCUGCACACUGACUCGGUACCCCCUGUAUAUAGCCUCGUUACUAAUUUGUACCCCUGUAUAUAGUCUCAUUACUAACCUGUACCCCUGUAUAUAGUCUCAUUACUAACCUGUACCCCCUGUAUUUAGCCUCAUUACUAACCUGUACCCACUGUAUAUAGCCUCAAUACUAACCUGUACCCCCAACACACUGACUCGGUACUCCCUGGAUAUAGCCUCAAUCCUAACCUGUAUCCCCGCACAUUGACCCAGUAUCCCCUGUAUAUAGCCUUGUUAUUGUUAUUUUAUUGUUACUUUCUAUUUAGUCAAUCUUUCUUUAACUCUAUUUCUUUCAUGGUAUCCAAUUGGUAGUAGUUACUGUCUUGUCUCAUCGCUGCAACUCCCGUACGAAUUCGGGAGAGGCGAAGGUCGAGAGCCGUGCGUCCUCCAAAGCACAACCCAACCAAGCCGCACUGCUUCUUGACACAAUGUCCACUUAACCCGGAAGCCAGCCGCACCAAUGUGUCCGAGGAAACACCGUACACCCGGCGACCGUGUCAUCGUGCACUGCGCCCGGUCCGCCACAGGAGUCGUUAGUGCAGGAUGGGACAAGAACGUCCCUGCCGGACAAACCUUCCCCUAACCUGGACGACGCCAAUUGUGCACCGGCCCAUGGGUUUCUCGGUCGCGGCCAGCUGCGACAAAGCCUGGGCUCGAACCCAGAAUCUCUGCGCCACUCGGGAGGCCAACUUAACUCUAUUUCUUGAACUGCAUUGGUUAAGGGCUUGUAAGUAAGCGUUUCACAGUAAGGUUGUUGUAUUCGGCGCAUGUGACAAAUACAAUUUGAUUUGAGCUAAUAUUGUGAAUAAUUGUUUUGUAGAGUUUUGAAAAAGCAAUUGUGUCAGGUGCCAGCAUUGGGGUUGCCAGUCCUAAAAUGAUCUUUUAAAAUGUUUGUUCAUUAACAUGAAGGGCAUUGUAAUGCAAUGGUUACAUAAAAUCAUGGGGGAAAUCAUUAGUGACGUGAUAAAUGGCGCCAGGUCGAAGUACAGGCUACAUAAAGGGUACUGUUGGGAUGGAUUAAAACACGAUUAAUGAGUGGAGGACAUUUUUCAUUCUCAUGUUUUGUUUGUAGUUAAAACUGUUGUGUUGCUGAUUUAAGAUAUAGCAUAGUGAAAAACUAACAAAAUGUUUAUUUUCUCUUUCAGGAGAGGAUGGGGUGUACCUAUCUCUCCCUUUGAAAUGUUUCCCGAGGCUAAUGCCUUGGGAGAUUAGUUCGUGAAAUUCUGAAUUUUUACAAAGUAUAAAGGUAUCCGGAUUUGACCGUAAAAGGGAGCUCCCAAAUAACUACGGCCUGGCCAUUUUGUUUGUUUUUGCUCUAUGUUUUACACACCAGAACACGCACAUGCACACAAAACCCACCGGUUAUGAAUAUAUGUUAGUGGUGUUAAUAGCGUGAUUGAUUUAUUGUGUUUGUUCUUUUGUUUGUAAAAUGGAAUGAUGGAAAUGUUUUAGGAAGUACAGGGAAAGGAAAAGACUUAAUGGUGUUGAAUGUGACUUUCUGGUGAUGCCUGAUCAACCUCACUAGAAAUGAGACAUUGGGUUUGAGUAUAACAUGAAGAAGUGUAUUGCUGUUGUUGUUGUUGUUUUUGUCUUUGUUUUCGAUACAAAUCUCACCAGAUUGGGUCGGGAUGUCUCCCUUGGACCACCCUCCAAGAUGGCAACGGGGAUUCCCCCAAGGGCAUAAGGCAAGGGGUCCAGAGGUUUCCUGGUUAUGUUAACAUGGGGUAAAAAUUGCCCCACCACUCUGGGACCUAUGGUGCCACCAGUCUGACCGCUCUGGGACCUAUGGUGCCACCAGUCUGACCGCUCUGGGACCUAUGGUGCCACCAGUCUGACCGCUCUGGGACCUAUGGUGCCACCAGUCUGACCGCUCUGGGACCUAUGGUGCCACCAGUCUGCUUGCAGUUGUCAGUUAUCACCAGCUAAGUCCUCUCCUGUUCUCUAAAUAAGAGGUGCACCACUCCACUACCAUUGUCAACUCUCUCCUGACAUGAACUGAAGCCACGUCUCAUGUUCAUCCACUGGCACAUUGAAUGUUUCCUCUCCAACCACUUCAAAUCCUGUCCUGCACUGAAGUCAAGCCUCUGAACACCCGAACUCAUGCCUCACACAAUCACAACUGUGAUCUCUUCCCAACACGAUUUUUCACGUCACCAGCCUCCACUGGACUACAGACGGUAUCUUGAUGCAUGUAAGGAUAAAUCGACCAAAAACAGUGUGACCUCCCCCCAGCCAGCUGAAGUAAUGGAAAAAAUGGCGUUCACUACGGCCCUGUCCUGCACCACUUCUACCGUGAGACCUGUACACAGCAUCCAGUCGACGCUAUCAACUGCCUUUUCUCUCACGAGUGUGACAAGAGUCCAUGUGGAGUGAGCACGGAGAGAGAUCCCGUCCAAACUUGCGGUCUCAUGUGUCCUGGGAGGAAAAUGGACAAGACAUAAUGGACUGUAAAGGACAUUGGAGGCUCAGGUGACAGACAUUAUCAAGGGCCAUCCACCUUGAACAUGUGCUAUUGGGAGGAUGAACUGAAACACUAUCUGAAGCAGAACAUGAAGAAACGCCAGAAGAAGAGUACCCGGGGAAGGAGGGUGGCUGUCAACUGUGCCUGUAAAUGGUUUAUUCCACGUGUAACUGUGCUGUUGUUUGUGUCGCACUGCUUUGCUUUAUAUUGGCCAGCUCGCAGUUGUAAAUGAGAACUUGUUCUCAACAAGCUUACCUGCUUAAAUAAAAAAUAAAAAAUGGAUUUACUGUUGAUAAACUGUUUAUUUGGGCUAUCAUGUUGAUUUUGGAAGUCUACACACUGAGAAGCUUAUUGUAAUGUAGAUAAAAAUUAAUUGGGAUACCGAUCUGUCAUUAACAUGCCACUCACAACAGUGUAAGAUGGGGACAAACAGUAAUGAGAACAGUUAAUACUGGAAAUAUAAGUAGUACAUACUGUCUAUAUAUGGUUCCCUGUUUGUAAAUGUACAUUCUAACUGUGUCGUUGUGUGCUAAGUUGAGGGUCUUGAAUUUGAGUGAUAGACCCAAAGUGGGGCACUGAAGACUGACAUUAUACAUUUGGGUUGUAUAACAUUGAUCGUAGGGUGCAAACAUGUUAUGGGUAGAUGGAAGGAUUUAUGUGCAAAUGCCGGAGGCUAAGUACAUACAUAUAUGUUUGCAUAAGGGUGUUAGUUGCAGAGAUAGUUUUGUCAUUUCAGACACUAUUGUGACACUAUUGUGUCCCAGAAGGGAAGUUGGCUGUAGUAGUAGUAGUAGCAUCACAUCUCCUGCAGAGGGCGCCAAACGAUAGGUGACCAUUGCUGUACAUUCAUACCCCAGGGUGACUAUUGUAGUGGAGCAUCUGAAAGAACUCAGCGGUGAUCUCGCAAACGAACACCAACCAGACAACAAUUGGAAUCCGUUUGGAUGGGUUCAGUCAUUGUUUGGUGUUAGGGGGGCUACAAAAUUUCAUUGGUUGAUUACAUAUCUGAUAAAGAUGAUAAUCCUGAUCACCGAAAACCCUGAAUUAAUGGUGCAGCAUGUCCAUAGGCCAUGCUCAUUGCGGGGGUUCUGUAAACGGUGCUCCCAAGGUAGUGUUACCGUCAUGGUGACCCGCGGCAAUGUGGACAGUGUCAACGAAGUGAUUGCCUUGUGUGUGGUGAUAAAGAAUGUACUGAUGUUUAACAUUCAUAUGUUCCUUUCCCCCUUCUGAGAAUGAAUUGCAUGUGAAGUUUUG
ensembl:lncRNA